UUCUGACAUCAUUCUUAUUGUGUGUGUGUGUGUGUGUGUGUGUGUGUAUAUAUAUAUAUAUAUUACACACACACACACACACACACACACAAUAAAACAUUUC
rnacentral:miRNA from 1 species